GGAUGUGAAGGCGAUCUGGCUGUGACAUCUGUCGCCCCAUUGAUCGCCAGGAUUGAUUCGGCUGAUCUGGCUGGCUAGGUGGGUGUUGUCCCCUUUUUCCCUCACUGCCCGAUAGAAGAGGACUGGUCUUUGUCAAGGGUAUAUGAGUAGCUGCACUCCCCUGCUAGAACCUCCAAACAAGCUCUCAUAAGCAUAGGUCCUGUGGCCACAAAGACCUUAAUGGUUUGGGCCAUGAGGGAAAUGAUGAGAGACCAUCUAAAAGAAAGAACCAGUAGUUCCUGGGUACCUGAU
ensembl:misc_RNA 7SK 7SK RNA